AGCGAACGCUGGCGGCAGGCCUAACACAUGCAAGUCGAACGAACCCUUCGGGGUUAGUGGCGGACGGGUGAGUAACACGUGGGAACGUGCCUUUAGGUUCGGAAUAACUCAGGGAAACUUGUGCUAAUACCGGAUGGUUCCUACGGGAUAAAGAUUUAUCGCCAAAAGAUGAGUCCGCGUACGAUUAGCUAGUUGGCGGGGUAAUGGCCCACCAAGGCGACGAUCGUUAGCUGGUCUGAGAGGACGAUCAGCCACACUGGGACUGAGACACGGCCCAGACUACUACGGGAGGCAGCAGUGGGGAAUAUUGGACAAUGGGGGCAACCCUGAUCCAGCCAUGCCGCGUGAGUGAUGAAGGCCUUCGGGUUGUAAAGCUCUUUUGGCGGGGACGAUGAUGACGGUACCCGCAGAAUAAGCCCCGGCUAACUUCGUGCCAGCAGCCGCGGUAAGAC
rnacentral:rRNA from 1 species